CUCUGCAGCACAUAUACUUUAAAAAAAAGGAAGGAGAUGGAGGAGAUUAGCAUGGCCCCUGUGCAAGGAUGACGUGCAAAUACAUGAAGAGUUCCAUUAAAAA